UUUAAAAACUUCCACUACACUCUCAUUUUGUCAAGGAAGGGGGGUGGGAGUUGAUGAGUCAGACUGCCUGUGCGCAAGGUCCUAGUUCUGCCACUCACACUGGCCACAAGCAAGAUUUUAACUUCCCAGAACCAUAUUUGUAAAAUGGGAAUAAUAUAGUAACCUUGUCAGUCACUUGUAGGGAUUCAAGGAGGCGCUAAUAACCAUGGCUACCAUCAACUGAGCCCACGUUGUGUGGCAGAAAGUGUGUCGUGCGUUUGACUUGCAUUGCACUGUCCCGUCUUGACAGCAGCCACCUGAUGCAGGGACAAUUACAAUUCCUAGGCUGCAGACGAGGAAACAAAUCCAAAAAAGUAUUUGAACUAAGGAGCUAUAGUUGCUUUACUAGUUUCCUUUGACUGCCGUAGCAAAUGACCAUAAACUUACCAUCUUCAAGCAACACACAUUUACUAUCUUACAUUUUUUGAACUCGGCCAGAAUCGAGGUAUCAGCGGGGCUUCAUUCUGGAGGCUCUAGGGAAGAAAUGUUUCCCCACUUUUCCCAGCUUCUGGAAAAUGCCUGCAUUCCUUGGCUCGUGGCCCUCCAUCUUCAAAGUCCAGAGCACAGCAUCUUCACAUUUCUUUUUCACUCUGCUUCUCCUGACUCCAUCUUUCAUAUAUAAGGACUCUGGUGAUUACAUUGGAGGCUGCCCAGAUAAUGUAGAAUAAUCUCCCUAUCUCAUGAUCCUUAAUCACAUUUGCAAAGUCCCUCUUGUCACGUAAGGUGUCACAUUCAUGGGUCUAGGAAUUCAGAUGUGCAUAUUUUGGGAGACCAUCAUUUUGCUACCAAUUACUAAGAGGCAGAACUGUGAUUUGAAUUCCGGCCUAUUUCUUGACCAUCGCAUUGUGCAGUUAAGUCUUUGGUGUUUAUGAAGUGCUUUUUCCUCCCUUGUGGCAGUGGAAGGAGUAUGGUAAGCUCUGGAUCCCAGAUUCGGGUUUUGCAUGCCGCGUUAAACAAGACAGGUUGUCCCUUUCUGCCCUUCUCCCUGGCAGUAUAGGAUGCCAAAGUCUCACAGUUAACUGUCAAUAUUGUUUUAUCUCAUCAAGGUAGGGUUUAAAACAAUCCAUUUCACCUCAUCUCCAAAUAUAUUAUUGACUCUUAAGCAACCAUAGAUGUUCAGUAAAAGUAGGUUACAAAGUAGAAAUGAAAGCCCAGUGUGGGGACAGGCCAUGACAUCCCUCUUGUCCAACAGGGUGUCUGUGCAAUGUGUAGAGCAGCCACCAAGGGCAGACCUGGAAGCAGAAUCCCCACAGAAAGAGGAGCAGGUGGUAAGGACUAGGGGACACCCUAAGCAGUCUUCUAGCCGCCUGGGACCUGUUAUGACUAUGAGUUCUGGGGACAGGAUGACUUGGUAUCCAGUGGCAUUAUUUUGAUCCUUUCCUGAAUGUGAGCAACAUGGUGUUAGAAAUCAGAGGUGAAUUCACAUGGGCUGUGUGUUUAUGUGACAAAGCAGUAAGAAUAAAGUAGAUUGCAUACUCUAGAUACACUUUCCUCAGCUAUUCAUACUUAGGGUAAUCUUUGAAUUUAUGGUCCAAACUGAGGUGCUUUUGAGAGCACUUUUAAUAAGUAUGUCAGGUCCACAGGUGUAACUGCAGGUUGUCAGGGCCCAAAGCCUCACACCCAGGCACCCAGGCCCUCGUGAAGCUGCCUUAGCUGUAAGCAUAAUGGUUUAGAGGGAUUAUUCAACAUCUAAAUGCUUGCCUGCAACCUCAAACACUUUUAUUCUUUCCGCAUGAUAGACAAGAAAUGCCGAAGUAUAAUUUCUUAGAAGGCAGAUCGACAAAGUAACUCCCUCACAAGGGCCUCCGUUUGAAAGUCAGGGGCAUGUUUCUCCUAUUGAUUAUUGACAUGUAAGAGUUGCACCUCCAUCCCCAACCGCCGGAGCUCGUUUUUCUUUCGUGACAUUGUUUUAAAUUGGGGUGCUUUUCUGCCACCCUCUCCACAAGUUCAUAAGACACUCUCUCUUGUCCAGGCUUCACUGAAAUAAAGUGUUUCAAGCUCAGGGUCAGUUUCAUAGUGCAUGUUAUGGGUUAUGAAAUCAGUUCAUUGGAUUGAGGUCGGUGUAUCUUUAAAAACAAAAUGAAAUUAACUAGAGUAGGAAAA